rnacentral:rRNA from 1 species
UACGGGAGGGGCAAGCGUUGUUCGGAAUUACUGGGCGUAAAGGGCGCGUAGGCGGUCUACUAAGUUGGAUGUGAAAACUCUGGGCUUAACCCAGAGCCUGCAUUCAAAACUGAUAGGCUGGAGUUCUGGAGGGGAUAGCGGAAUUCCUGGUGUAGCGGUGAAAUGCGUAGAUAUCAGGAGGAACACCGGUGGCGAAGGCGGCUAUCUGGACAGAAACUGACGCUGAGGCGCGAAAGCUAGGGGAGCAAACAGG